GGAUUGCUUAGUAACGGCGAGUGAAGCGGCAAAAGCUCAAAUUUGAAAUCUGGCACCUUCGGUGUCCGAGUUGUAAUUUGAAGAAGGUAACUUUGGAGUUGGCUCUUGUCUAUGUUCCUUGGAACAGGACGUCACAGAGGGUGAGAAUCCCGUGCGAUGAGAUGCCCAAUUCUAUGUAAAGUGCUUUCGAAGAGUCGAGUUGUUUGGGAAUGCAGCUCUAAGUGGGUGGUAAAUUCCAUCUAAAGCUAAAUAUUGGCGAGAGACCGAUAGCGAACAAGUACAGUGAUGGAAAGAUGAAAAGAACUUUGAAAAGAGAGUGAAAAAGUACGUGAAAUUGUUGAAAGGGAAGGGCUUGAGAUCAGACUUGGUAUUUUGCGAUCCUUUCCUUCUUGGUUGGGUUCCUCGCAGCUUACUGGGCCAGCAUCGGUUUGGAUGGUAGGAUAAUGACUAAGGAAUGUGGCUCUACUUCGGUGGAGUGUUAUAGCCUUGGUUGAUACUGCCUGUCUAGACCGAGGACUGCGUCUUUUGACUAGGAUGUUGGCAUAAUGAU
rnacentral:rRNA from 1 species